CAGGGAUAAAAACACGGCCCGGUAGGUAGUCCGGGCGCAGCUGAAAGGCUGUCAGUAACCUGCCCUCCCAGGGUUGUCCAUUCCUUGCGGGA
rnacentral:ncRNA from 1 species